GGAGAGCUGGCCGAGUGGUUGAAGGCGGCGGUCUUGAAAACCGUUAGGGCGUAAGCCCUCGGGGGUUCGAAUCCCUCGCUCUCCGCCA
rnacentral:tRNA from 1 species